rnacentral:rRNA from 1 species
CCUGUGUGGCGGGUAGUUUGACUGGGGCGGUCGCUCCAAAAGUAACGGAGGCGCGCGAUGGUGGGCUCAGGUUGGUCGGAAAUCAACCGUCGAGUGCAAUGGCAUAAGCCCGCCUGACUGCGAGACUGACAAGUCGAGCAGAGACGAAAGUCGGCCAUAGUGAUCCGGUGGUCCCGCGUGGAAGGGCCAUCGCUCAACGGAUAAAAGGUACGCCGGGGAUAACAGGCUGAUAC